AUUUCAACCAAACUUGCCACAAAGCAUCCUUGGAUAGUGUAGAUUCAAGUUUGUUCAAAUCUUGUCCCCCGGGGGUAGGGCGGGGCCACAAUGGGCGACCAAAGUUUUGUAUAGAAAUAUAUAGGAAAAUUCUUUAAAAAUCUUCUUCUUAAGAACAGCAAAGCCAUGAUUGCCCAUAUUUAUAUGGAAGCAUCCCCAGGUAGUGUAGAUUCAAGUUUGUUCAAAUCAUGACCCCCAGGGGUAGGGCGGGGCCACAAUGGCCGACCAAAGU